rnacentral:rRNA from 1 species
CUACGGGAGGCAGCAGUGGGGAAUAUUGCACAAUGGGCGCAAGCCUGAUGCAGCCAUGCCGCGUGUGUGAAGAAGGCCUUCGGGUUGUAAAGCACUUUCAGCGAGGAGGAAAGGUUAGUAGUUAAUACCUGCUAGCUGUGACGUUACUCGCAGAAGAAGCACCGGCUAACUCCGUGCCAGCAGCCGCGGUAAUACGGAGGGUGCGAGCGUUAAUCGGAAUUACUGGGCGUAAAGCGUACGCAGGCGGCCAUUUAAGUCAGAUGUGAAAGCCCCGGGCUCAACCUGGGAACUGCAUUUGAAACUGGAUGGCUAGAGUGCGACAGAGGGUGGUAGAAUUUCAGGUGUAGCGGUGAAAUGCGUAGAGAUCUGAAGGAAUACCAAUGGCGAAGGCAGCCACCUGGGUCGACACUGACGCUCAUGUACGAAAGCGUGGGUAGCAAACAGGAUUAGAUACCCUGGUAGUCCACGCCGUAAACGAUGUCUACUAGCAGUUUGACUCUUAAGAGUUGUCUUGCGCAGCUAACGCAUUAAGUAGACCGCCUGGGGAGUACGGCCGCAAGGUUAAAACUCAAAUGAAUUGACGG